rnacentral:rRNA from 1 species
AUUGAACGCUGGCGGCAUGCUUUACACAUGCAAGUCGAACGGCAUCGCGGGCUUCGGCCUGGCGGCGAGUGGCGAACGGGUGAGUAAUGCAUCGGAACGUGCCCAGUAGUGGGGGAUAGCCCGGCGAAAGCCGGAUUAAUACCGCAUACGACCUGAGGGUGAAAGCGGGGGACCGAAAGGCCUCGCGCUAUUGGAGCGGCCGAUGUCGGAUUAGCUAGUUGGUGGGGUAAAGGCUUACCAAGGCGACGAUCCGUAGCUGGUCUGAGAGGACGACCAGCCACACUGGGACUGAGACACGGCCCAGACUCCUACGGGAGGCAGCAGUGGGGAAUUUUGGACAAUGGGGGCAACCCUGAUCCAGCCAUGCCGCGUGCGGGAAGAAGGCCUUCGGGUUGUAAACCGCUUUUGUUCGGGAAGAAAUCCUCUGGGCUAAUACCCCGGGGGGAUGACGGUACCGGAAGAAUAAGCACCGGCUAACUACGUG